UGGAUAAGAUGGGCUAUUGAACAGGCUUACAUUUAUCUUCUUUUUACAAUACAUCUGGCCAUGCCCACGUUCAGGUAGGUACUUACGUUGCCAACGGGAUCUGUGCAAAUAAUGUGUUUCUUGUCCCUCCCAUCAAACUCCUCCCCUUCUACGCCAAAACAGUCACUAAAAGUUGACACUGAAAAGUACUGACAUCGAAAAAAGACUUGCAUUGUAAAAAAAAACGCACUGAAAAAGGCUGACAUGAAGAAACAAAGAAAAUAUUGUCAUUGAAAAAGCACAUCAGAAUAAACAAAAAAAAACAUCAAAACGUCUUUUCAGUGCCCAAAGUUUUCAAUUCAAGUGUUUUAAUGCCAAAGUUCAAUUACUCAGUUUAGUUUUUUAUCAUGCUGAUUUUGUGCUUUUUCAGUGCCAAACCUAAAGUCUCUGUUUUAGCUCCAUAUCAACCCGGGUUCAAUUCAAUUUCUUUAACGCCUUUGUAUGUUGCGUUGAGAAAAGCUUCUGCUCAAUAUUCAAACUCCACUGUUAUGCUGAGGAUCUGCGUUGCGUUUGAUUCAACGCUGGUAAACAGGUGACAUACGGUCUUCAUCUGCAAGGUAACCAGGAGGUGCAGCUGAGGGGUGUGUUUAACACAUUAGGAGGGUCCUUCUGCCUGAAGACUGAUGGCAGUCCAACCUGUCAUUUUCACUGCCAACCCUCAUUAGACUCCUCCCAACGCAGUCUCAACCGCCAAUGGAUUUUCCAUCAGUAUCCAAAGAAGGGAAAGGAUGAAUUGAAAAGGAUGGCACAUGUCUCUAGUUGGGUGUGGUCUACCUUGUUGAGACACAUAUCUGGAAGCCUUACUGUAAUUACCAAGAAUGUUUUGAGACCCACUGGGGAUUUAGAGUACACAGGGUCUGACGUGCUGCAUAUAUGGAUUCACCUCACUGACAUUUAAUUGGUUGUUGCAUUUCUGGAGGGUGAUUAAGGACAAACAUUUGAUAGAGUUAUUUCUGUAUAUCUGGAUUAAAUGGACCCGUGGACUCGUCUGAACUACUGUUACACAAUAAGUUACACAUACCAUCAACCGAAAAAUGACUAACCUGGACUUAUCAACGGAAUUUCUUUAAAUUGCAUCAACAUGAACAUGCACCACUCUAACAGCUUCUGCUUUAAAUGACAAUUUCACAGUAGACAGUAGACUUAGGCCUGUUCACAUUAAGCUAAUUGAAACAUUGCAUGAGAUCCCACAGAAAUGAAACACCAUAUUGUAUUUGAGCAUGUGUUUGAAAUAAAAGUCCGAUGGGAACCAUUCAGUUCUCUUUGGGCUUAAUUGGGCCUCGCAUGAACAGAGAGGGCGGAUAAAGAGAUGCAGGGGGCCAGCAUCUGCACAAAUGAGCUCAAUAAAACACAGACAUCAUGUUUAGCACUAAACUUAAUGGGACAUUUCAUUUCCACAUUUCAUAUUUGGCUUUUUCUUUUGUAAAGCUGCAAGCAUAGUUUCACACAAGUUGGUAAUUGUGUGUGUGUUUUUGUGUGUGUGUGUGUAAAUGAAAAAAGAUUACUUUCACAGUGGUGUCCUCUCUUGACAUUUUGACUCAAUUCCUGUCAAACAUUCACAAAAGAUGCUUUUUUUCCCCGUUGCUUUUAACUCGUUUUUGCUUUUUUUCCAUUUUGAAUGUGGUGACACUCUAAAUGUAUCUUUCUUGAGUGAAUAGGCAUCUGG